UAUUAAACAUGUCGUGAAUUUUAUAAUAAAUGUAGUUGGAAGGGAUUAAUUAAUAUAAUCGGGUAAACGGAUACGAACCUUUUUUCUUAGAAUAUGCAUCAAAGACUCUUUUUAUAGGCAUAUGUAUCAUGUAUGCCCAACAUCAUGUGUGUAAUAUGUCUAUGCAUGUGCACUUUUUUUGUGUAACAGUCUAUGGCACACAUAUAUGAAUAAAAGGACAUGUACCUUAAUAUAUAUGCUUAUAGAACAUACACAC
rnacentral:lncRNA from 1 species